rnacentral:lncRNA from 1 species
CUGAUGAAAGGGGCGGUGGCAGCUUGAAGCUGGUGGGAGGAACUGGCCGCAGGCUGAGGAGGGCUCGCCCAGCUGCGGGAAAUGCUCUGGUUGACCUUGGCUUUCUGUGCACCGAGCUGGGUCUCGACCCAACGUUGGAGCCGAGGCGUCCCGGGGCUGAGCGACCCUGGGUGCGGGUGCUCCGGCUGCUGCUGCGGUUCCUGCUGUGCUCGGCUGGGCGGCGGCUGAUACCAGCGCCCACCAGAAGUGCAGGAGCCAUCCCGCAGGCGGGAGGAGGUGCUAGCUAGCCAUGGUCCCCGAAAACCAGGCUCUGCUGACAAAUCUCAGACGCCAGAAACAGAAGAACCCAGAGAAACUGCCCGAGAAACUUGUGCCAAACGGAUGGACUGUUGGAGGAGCUGAGGGUGAAGCUGCGGUAACUCCUCAAACUGGAACAGCAAAGUCAGCACCAGAAAUAGACAAGAAAAAUAAAAUUUCAAAGAAAAUUAGAAGAAAUCAAAGGCAGAUGCUAAAGCAGCAAAAAACCCUCCACAGUACAACAGAAAUGGAGUUGAUGAAGGAGUCUGAGAAAUGAAUCUUAGUCACUGAGAGAAAGGACAGCAGUGAACACGGUCAGGUGCUGAUGAUUCUGGUCCACUGGAUCCCACCAUCCCUGGGAGAGUAAAUACCAUCCCAGUCAUCACCCAGCAAGUUACCACCGCAGCAUUUCCCAUGUGUUCCAAAAUGAAUAAAGGUGAUUCUCAUCACAAGUGCAAAUAAAAAGUCAUUUAUCAUGUUUUUAAUC